rnacentral:lncRNA from 10 species
CCGGGCCUCCCAAAGUGCUGUGAUUACAGGUGUGAGCCACCGCACCCGGCCUAGAGAACCUUUUUAAGAAGGACACAACCUGUGCUCAAUACCCCUGAUUCUCUCAGGUAAGGAUGGCAAUGACCCACGCCUUUUAAGCAAGCAUGAGGUAGAAACCAACAAUGAAAGUAGCUUUAACUCCAGGAAUAUGAAAGGCACAGGGGGUCCCUAUGCUGCAGUCUUUAUUUUAACUAAGAAAGCCCUCGCUAGGACUUUGAUUGGGCUGGAUGUUCAAUGUUACGGUACUUUAUAAGAUGUUUUAACAGUCAGUGUAGUUUUCAAAGCUGCCAAACUAGUUAUCUGAGUUGGGUAAUUGUUGAGCUGUUUUGAUUUAUAUUUUAGGUCCACUUGACCAUCAGAAGAGUUAAAUUACAGACGGCUAAUAUACGGGAGAGUCACUGGGAGUUGGGCUAAGCCCUGUGAAUUUGAUAUCUAAUUUGCUUCCUGUGAAUAUGGUGUCUAAGCCGAGUUGACAAACAAGGGGAAGCAGGCUUGAUGCGUGUUUCUGUCUUAGGGAUCAUGCUUUGUUUCAAGGUGGCUGCAAGUUCAAAACUACAUAAUAAGAACCCAGAGUCCCCAGUCAUUUAUUUACUUAGGAUUUUAAUUUUGAAAAAAAUUUAAGACACGAAGCAACUCCAUCUCAGAAUUAAAAUUUCACAUAUAUCCUUUAUGCUGAUAGAAAUCUGUGGAUUCCUGUUUUCACACUUGUUGCCAAUUUGCACAAUUGUUGUCAAUACUCAGAGCACGCUUGGAUAAUUGAAUUUGUAACAACAAAAACAAACUUAUAUAUUAAUACCUUCAUUUUUCUGUCCAGUUCUUACAGAUCAGGGUUCAUAUCAUGACCUUCUUAGUGUGAUUGGGUGAGUUAUUAAUUUCACUGUGUCUCAUUUUAUUCAGUAUAAAAUGGGCAUUAUUAUGUUUAUAUCAUAGAGAUGCUAUAAAGAUGAAAUAUGGCUGGGCAUGGUGGC